rnacentral:lncRNA from 1 species
CAGCACGUUGUACACCUCCCGGAGGCGGAUGAACUUCUCCGAUGCCACCUUGAGCGGCAGCGUCGUCGUGUCUGGGUGGUACUCCUUGGACAGCCGCCGGUACGCCGCCUUGAUCUCCUCGAUGUCCGCCUCCGGCGCUAUCCCCAGGAACCUUUGAUAAUUUACAUCAAGUCAUGUUAGAUGCUCGGCUCAUAGUCACUGAUUUUGCAGUUUACACAUGAAUUAAUUCGCCAUCAGGAGAAAAUAUGAGCUGAAUAACACUACUUUUGGUGCUUAAUUUCAGGGAAGAAGCAACUGACGGCAACGAGAUUGACUAAAUCUGGAAAUUUGAACUACGAUUCAGAGAGUUUCAGCUUGGAUGGAAGGAGCCUGGACAGGAAAUAUG